rnacentral:rRNA from 1 species
UACAGAGGUCUCGAGCGUUAGGCGGAAUCACUGGGCUUAAAGCGUGUGUAGGCGGAUCGGUAAGUACCUUGUGAAAUCCCACAGCUUAACUGUGGAACUGCUUGGUAUACUGCCAGUCUUGAGCCAGCUAGGGGCUACCGGAACAAAUGGUGGAGCGGUGAAAUGCGUAGAUAUCAUUUGGAACGCCAAUGGUGAAAACAGCUCGCUGGGAAUGAUCUGACACUGAGACGCGAAAGCCAGGGGAGCGAACGGG